GUGCUUCCCUGGCAGGGGAGGCACCGUGAUCGCGAAGGUGGCUUUCCUGGGGCGAGGCUUAUCCACUGCACUCUGGAUGUGCUGACCCCUGAGGUUUCCCCAAAUGUGGGAAACUCGACCGCAGAGUUUGUGGUAGUAGCGGGAGACUGUGUCUGUGUGCUCCCCUA
rnacentral:snRNA from 1 species